UCGGAUGCUGACGAGUGGCGAACGGGUGAGUAAUACAUCGGAACGUGCCUAGUAGUGGGGGAUAACUACUCGAAAGAGUAGCUAAUACCGCAUGAGAUCUACGGAUGAAAGCAGGGGACCUUCGGGCCUUGUGCUACUAGAGCGGCUGAUGGCAGAUUAGGUAGUUGGUGGGGUAAAGGCUACCAAGCCUGCGAUCUGUAGCUGGUCUGAGAGGACGACCAGCCACACUGGGACUGAGACACGGCCCAGACUCCUACGGGAGGCAGCAGUGGGGAAUUUUGGACAAUGGGCGAAAGCCUGAUCCAGCAAUGCCGCGUGCAGGAUGAAGGCCCUCGGGUUGUAAACUGCUUUUGUACGGAACGAAAAGCCUGGGGCUAAUAUCCCCGGGUCAUGACGGUACCGUAAGAAUAAGCACCGGCUAACUACGUGCCAGCAGCCGCGGUAAUACGUAGGGUGCAAGCGUUAAUCGGAAUUACUGGGCGUAAAGCGUGCGCAGGCGGUUUUGUAAGACAGUGGUGAAAUCCCCGGGCUCAACCUGGGAACUGCCAUUGUGACUGCAAGGCUAGAGUGCGGCAGAGGGGGAUGGAAUUCCGCGUGUAGCAGUGAAAUGCGUAGAUAUGCGGAGGAACACCGACGGCGAAGGCA
rnacentral:rRNA from 1 species